rnacentral:rRNA from 1 species
UGCAUAUCCAAAAAGCGGAGGAAAAGAAACUAACAAGGAUUCCCCUAGUAACUGCGAGUGAAGCGGGAAAAGCUCAAAUUUAAAAUCUGGUGGUCUUUGGCCAUCCGAGUUGUAAUCUAGAGAAGUGUUAUCCGCGCUGGACCGUGUACAAGUCCCCUGGAAUGGGGCGUCAUAGAGGGUGAGAAUCCCGUCUUUGACACGGACUACCAGGGCUUUGUGAUGCACUCUCAAAGAGUCGAGUUGUUUGGGAAUGCAGCUCAAAAUGGGUGGUAAAUUCCAUCUAAAGCUAAAUAUUGGCGAGAGACCGAUAGCGAACAAGUACCGUGAGGGAAAGAUGAAAAGAACUUUGGAAAGAGAGUUAAACAGUACGUGAAAUUGUUGAAAGGGAAACGCUUGAAGUCAGUCGCGUCUGCCAGGGAUCAACCUUACUUUUGUGAGGCGUACUUCCUGGUUGAUGGGUCAGCAUCAGUUUUGGUCGCUGGAUAAAGGUCAGAGAAAUGUGGCACCUUCGGGUGUGUUAUAGUCUUUGAUCAGAUACAGUGGCUGGGACUGAGGAACUCAGCGCCGCAAGGCUGUCUUAGGAUGCUGGCAAAAUGGCUUUAAUCGACCCGUCUUGAAACACGGCCAAAGGGGAGUCA